AGGCCUUUUACCACCACUUUAUUAAAUCCAUGGCUGCAAGAUAAAAAUUCUAAUUUACUGAUUAAGAUAGACCUUCUAAGUUGCUGACUUUAUUUUUUGGGGUUGCGUUGAAUUAAUAAUGUUGGUAAUUACAUUAAAUUAAUUUGAUAUGUAAUUUGAAAUUAAAUCCCAAUGUUAGUGGGUUCAAAAUAAAAUUCAAGUUGUAAUUACUUAAAGAAAUUGAAUAUGUAACUUAUUUUUUCUCCACUGUAACUUUUGAUUUCAAGUUCCCUCCCCUACCCACUUAACUAGCCCGGGCAAAUUCAUAUAUGGUGCAUUGCUUGGUGGACUUGCAAGCUUAUGUAAAAGACAUUUCAAGGUAAGUAACAUUUCAUUUACAAAUAACUGUUCUAACAAAGCAAAGCAUUUGUGCUAGUCACUUGUAGUGGAUUUGUGUACCAUGUUGUGCUCAUACAGUUAAGGAAAUAUUUUGCACUACCACAUGUAGCUAAUGCUAACCAUUCUAAACUUUAGCACAGGAGAGGAUAAGACUUAUAAAGUUUCAUUUGACAAAUGUCUUCAGCUAGAGAGAGCUGCUGUGGCUAGGAAAAGCAUGGUUAAAGUUUUGCUACACAAUGCAAUCUAAUUUCGCUGGUUUUGUUUUGUUCUUUUUUAACAUAUCAGGUUGUGUGAAAUAUCGUUAAUGUCAUUCCAGUAGCAUUAUUCUAGCAUAGGCUAUGUGAAUCUACUUAACAUUAAGACUUUAUGUAAGCAGUUAGUAUAGUUAUAAUCUAGGGUCAUUAAUGAGUUGUUAAGUUGGUACACAUUUUUUACAAAAUGGGCUGGGAGUGCACAAUGUGUAAAUUUGAAACCUCUACAAAAACAGGGUUGCUAAAGCAUUACAGAUUACGCCAUGGUUAUGGUGGGGAAUGUCUCUCUUCUCUUCACUAAGAUUGUUUUUGUUCCCUUGGGGUAGCCUUAGAUCACAUCUAUCAUCUUUAACUAAUGUAUUAGAGCAUUAAUUAAUGCAAAAUAGCUAAUAGUCUGCAAGAUUUAAUUCUUCUGUUUGUGUGGUCUACAGAUAAAGGAGGAAUUCAAGAGUUCAACCACUGUAAGCCUUGAAUGGCUACACUUGACCCUAAAACUGAUGGACGUCAUUUUUUCAAGGGGAGGAGCUAAAGGAGUGAGAAUCAGGCAGAUCAAGUACAUGCUUCUUGAGCACAAUUCAACUGAAAUACACAGAGAAGUAGCCAUCUGCUGCCUUAUCACAUACCUUGGAGAGAAGGAAGAGGACCUUUUCAUGGAGUUUGGUGACACCGAAGAAUUUAAGGCCAACCUUGAAAGGCAGGUAAUGAAAACUGCCAUCAUCAGUGACCGGUACACCCCUGGAUCUGACCAUAAGACUGCAACCAUUGUGGUGCGGGAACAAAAAUCCUGGAGGGCCAGAAUUUCCCAUGGUGCUGUGUGUUACUCAUGGGCAUAAUAUAUGCUCUCAAUCUGAGCUAAUGCAAGGAUCUGAAAUAUGCUUUAGAAGUUUUUCAGAAGCUGUUCCUUGACCUUGAUGGAACCAGCAUUAUGUUAAAGAUGCUGACUCUGUUUCAAAAAUUGUUAACUGUUUUGAAUCCUGUAUGUGUAACAUUGAUCUUAAAGGUGUUUGCUGCAUUGUGUAAAAGAAAGAUGCAAGAUCUUGCAAAGUUUGGUAGGCACUGAAAGUUGACAUUUAUUGAACACUUGCUUGGAAGUAUUACUGUAACAAAAUGUUUUCUAAGUGGAUUUUUUACCAAUUGAACACAUUUAUUUCUGUGGUCUUAAAUACAUAAAAGCAUAUUGUUUAACUUGGCUACGAUGGUACAAAUCUAAAUUUCUGGUUUAUUUUCACUUUUUAAAUAUGAAGUGUUGAAAUGCCUACAGUUAAAAAAUA